AUUUAUACAACUUUCAGCAACGGAUCUCUUGGCUCUCGCAUCGAUGAAGAACGCAGCGAAAUGCGAUAAGUAAUGUGAAUUGCAGAAUUCAGUGAAUCAUCGAAUCUUUGAACGCACCUUGCGCUCCUUGGUAUUCCGAGGAGCAUGCCUGUUUGAGUGUCAUUAAUUUCUCAACCUCACCAGCUU
rnacentral:rRNA from 1 species